AUCUGCUCUGGGGACAGCUGUGAGUAGGCCUCCAGCCCACAGCCAUGUGAGUGACCCUUUUGAAGAGUGGAUCUUCCAGGCCCAGUCAAGCCUUCAGAUGACUGCAGCCCCAGCCAACAUCUUGGGAGACCCCGAGUCAGAAACCCCCGCUAAGUCACUUCCAGAUCCCUAAGUCUCAGAAACUGAAGAAAAAAAAAAUCCACCUGAGGGCCAAUCUGAUGCUCGGGGAGAUGGAGCAUCUUCUUCUAUCACAGUCUCCUGCCGCAUUUCACGUGAUGAUACAGCAAGAAUUAAGCCAUCUGCAAGCUGGUAGGAGGGUCCCUACCAGAACCUUACCCUGCUGGCACCCUGAUCUCAGAUGUCCAGCCUCC
rnacentral:lncRNA from 1 species